rnacentral:tRNA from 1 species
UCGGGUGUGGGGUAAUUUGGGAACCCGCGUGGCCUGGGACCACGAGAUUGUCGGUUCAAAUCCGAUCACCCGGA